AUAGCGUAUAUUAAAGUUGUUGCAGUUAAAAAGCUCGUAGUUGAACCUUGGGCCUGGCUGGCCGGUCCGCCUCACCGCGUGCACUGGUCCGGCCGGGCCUUUCCUUCUGGGGACCCGCAUGCCCUUCACUGGGUGUGUCGGGGAACCAGGACUUUUACUUUGAAAAAAUUAGAGUGUUCAAAGCAGGCCUAUGCUUGAAUACAUUAGCAUGGAAUAAUAGAAUAGGACGUGUGGUUCUAUUUUGUUGGUUUCUAGAGCCGCCGUAAUGAUUAAUAGGGAUAGUUGGGGGCAUUGGUAUUGAGUCGCUAGAGGUGAAAUUCUUGGAUUGACUCAAGACCAACUAUUG
rnacentral:rRNA from 1 species